rnacentral:snRNA from 1 species
GUGCUUGCUUUGGCAGCACAUAUACUAAAAUUGGAACAAUACAGAGAGGAUUAGCAUGGCCCUUGCGCAAGGAUGACACGCAAAUUCGUAAAGUAUUCCAUAUUUUU